rnacentral:rRNA from 1 species
AGUGAACGCUGGCGGUAGGCCUAACACAUGCAAGUCGAACGGCAGCACAGGAGAGCUUGCUCUCUGGGUGGCGAGUGGCGGACGGGUGAGGAAUACAUCGGAAUCUACUCUGUCGUGGGGGAUCACGUAGGGAAACUUACGCUAAUACCGCAUACGACCUACGGGUGAAAGCAGGGGACCUUCGGGCCUUGCGCGAUUGAAUGAGCCGAUGUCGGAUUAGCUAGUUGGCGGGGUAACGGCCCACCAAGGCGACGAUCCGUAGCUGGUCUGAGAGGAUGAUCAGCCACACUGGAACUGAGACACGGUCCAGACUCCUACGGGAGGCAGCAGUGGGGAAUAUUGGACAAUGGGCGCAAGCCUGAUCCAGCCAUACCGCGUGGGUGAAGAAGGCCUUCGGGUUGUAAGGCCCUUUUGUUGGGAAAGAAAUCCAGCUGGCUAAUACCCGGUUGGGAUGACGGUACCCAAAGAAUAAGCACCGGCUAACUUCGUGCCAGCCGCCGCCGUAA